GAUGAACGCAGGCGGCGUGCCUAAUACAUGCAAGUCGAGCGAACGGACGAGAAGCUUGCUUCUCUGAUGUUAGCGGCGGACGGGUGAGUAACACGUGGAUAACCUACCUAUAAUACUUGGAUAACUUCGGGAAACCGGAGCUAAUACCGGAUAAUAUUUUGAACCGCAUGGUUCAAAAGUGAAAGACGGUCUUGCUGUCACUUAUAGAUGGAUCCGCGCUGCAUUAGCUAGUUGGUAAGGUAACGGCUUACCAAGGCAACGAUGCAUAGCCGACCUGAGAGGGUGAUCGGCCACACUGGAACUGAGACACGGUCCAGACUCCUACGGGAGGCAGCAGUAGGGAAUCUUCCGCAAUGGGCGAAAGCCUGACGGAGCAACGCCGCGUGAGUGAUGAAGGUCUUCGGAUCGUAAAACUCUGUUAUUAGGGAAGAACAUAUGUGUAAGUAACUGUGCACAUCUUGACGGUACCUAAUCAGAAAGCCACGGCUAACUACGUG
rnacentral:rRNA from 1 species